rnacentral:rRNA from 1 species
AGAACGAACGUUGGCGGCAUGGAUUAGGCAUGCAAGUCGAAUGAAUCCUGUAGCAAUACGGGGGAAAUGGCGAAAGGGGCAGUAAUACAUGGAUAACCUACCCUGGGGAUGGGCAUAGCCGGUCUAACGGCCGGGUAAUACCCAGAGAGUCGACGAUGUGGCAUCACAAUGUCGGGAAAUGAAUUUCGCCUCGGGAGGGGUCCAUGAGCUAUCAGCUAGUUGGUGGGGUAACGGCCCACCAAGGCUUAGACGGCUAGCGGGUGUGAGAGCACGACCCGCGCCACUGGCACUGAGACACUGGCCAGACGCCUACGGGUGGCUGCAGUCGAGGAUCUUCGUCAAGUGGGGGAAACCCUGAACG